rnacentral:autocatalytically_spliced_intron from 1 species
GGUAUCAACCAAGCCACCAACAUGGUAACGUCUUAUUUCGACCCAGCCACGAAACUCAUUUAUGCCAUCGGCGCGGUCGUGGGACUUAUCGGAGGGGUAAAGGUCUAUUCAAAGUUCUCGUCCGGAGAUCCCGACACCUCGAAGACCGCCGCGAGCUGGUUCGGAGCCUGUAUCUUCCUUAUCGUGGCAGCCACCAUUUUAAGAAGUUUCUUCCUCUAAGCCU